rnacentral:ncRNA from 2 species
CGACACGUCUCUGGAGAGUCUCAUACAAUGAGCGCCGAAGGGGCAAGGGAAGAAAUUCCUCAAUCUCUCAGGCAAAAGGACAGGGCCGGCACA